rnacentral:lncRNA from 1 species
GUUCAGAUUUUGUUCUUUCUGCAAAUCCUGAAUGAGUUGAAAUUCCUUUACUUUAUCGGUUACUUUCAAGUCGUUUUCCACCGCUUCCCGCACCUCCGCGAUUGGCUCCCCUUCAACAAGAGCGGCCUUUCUCUCCUGCAAAUUCUCUAGCAGGAGUUCCUCUUCCCGUUCCAGUUAUCUGUGAGCGUUAUCUGGGAACCAUCUCAUCCAUUCCCCUUGAACAAGGGAUUAGAUGGGAUCCUACAUGGAAAUCCUUCCCCAGUGCGCAUUUUCUUUUGUCAACAAGUUGUUUGGAAAGAAAGUCCGUAGUAUCCUUCCUUGCGCUUUAUUUG